UGUUAUGUACAUGCCUAUAGAGUUAAUGCACUAGAUCCCAUCAGAACUCCGAAGUUAAGCGUGCUUGGGCUAUACUAGUAUUAGGAUGGGUGACCUCCCGAGAAAUCCUAGUGUUUUACAU
rnacentral:rRNA from 1 species